AGAAGAAUUUAAUGUCAUAACAAAAUAACAAAAGGAAAGCUGCAUGCAAUGAAAAGAUAGGAAAUGUGUUUUUUCCAGAAAGGAGUCUCCAGACAUCAAGUUAAACGUGAUGAGAGAUGGACAGAGCACAGCUGGAGUCAUUCCUGGAGCAGAAGGAGGAGCUCAGGGAAGAAACUGCCACCAGCCCUGAGUUCCUCAUGAUGACAAAUUCUGGUCUUCAGCUGCCUUCCCUGAAGAAUUCCCAAUAUUUUAUCCUGAAGUGCUGCUUUUGCAGAAACUUUCUGGCCUGGUUUGUAUUUUCCUGUCAGGAUCCUUGCAUCCUCAAGGCAGAAAAUCACGUUGGAGACUCACAGCACACAUGAGGAAACUCAGCUGAGGAUCUGGACUGCGUUAGAUGAAGGAGGAAACGACAUGAGACUUGUUUUUGUUGUGAUAAGAGGAAGAACAGAUCCGAUCAUAACAAAAACAGAUGUAGAGCCGUAACGCAGUCCCUCGUGUUAUCUACUCCCCACUCUCACACUGACCAGCAGAGGAUGCAAGGAAAUGUUCUGCCUUCUGCCAGCACAGCCCCUGCCAGCAAAUCAGUGCCGAAGACACUGCCUGAAAUACAUUCUGCUGCAGAAAAGUGUGAUAAAAAACCCUCCUGCCAAAGUGCUGGGCCAAUCAAUCAAGUGUUAAUGAUGGAUCAUGAAACCCAUUUGUUGACAAAUAAAACCUUGUGUGCUCUGCCAGUGAAACCAACUGUGUCACCCAUUUUUCAGCGGCUGCCCGAAAUGCCGCGUGCGGAGCGGAAUUUAUUGGUGGCGGGGGCUGGUGGCACAGCCAGCCCAGCCAGCCGGGUCUGCAGGUGCACUGGGGUCUGUCCUGCCCUGCCUGGCCCUGCAGAGGAGCCUGAGGUGUCCAGGGGCUCUGUGGGAGGCAGAGGAGCCAGCCUGGUUCCUUCAGCCCUUUGUGCCUGUGGGUGCAGAGCGUGGCUGCAGCCUGGAGCAGGAAAACCAAGGGAAAGGUUUCAUUCUGGGACAGAGCACCACUGAGCAAAUGUGUCUGAGAGCUCAGAGGUUCUGCAGUAAAGAUCAGGGCUGGAAUGCUCUCUUUGGCCAUGCCCACGAGCAGGGCUGGGAAGCUUUUGUUCAGUGAGCAGAUCAGCUGGAUAUCACGUGUAGGUGUCACCUGAAAACUCAGCUUCUGAGCUUGCU